GGAUGGCCGAGUGGUCUAAGGUGCAAGACUCAAAUUUCUGGUCCUCCAUUGAGGCCGUGGGUUCGAAUCCCAUUUC
rnacentral:tRNA from 1 species